rfam:Callithrix jacchus chromosome 9, whole genome shotgun sequence
CGGUUUCCUGCUUCAGCAGUGCUUGGACGGAACCCG